AAAAUAAAAUCAAUAUACAAUCAUGACAUGUAAAAAAACAUCUCCUAUUCCCCCCAUUCCCGAGUCCUCUUUAAAUAGGGCUAAUCCCUAUGUCCAUUGGUGGUUCCGUGGGUGGUGUCCAGUAUCCAUCACUUGACUGGUUCCAUGGGGGAGCUGUUCAGCUGUUUCCCAUCUUUCUCGCAUUGCUGUAAUCAAAAUUGGCGCAUUCGGAUAACCGGAACCGGAAGUAUGGGUUGUACCGCACUUCCGCGUUCCACUUGCGUUCCACAUACGUUCCACCUGCGGCUUAUAUGCGUUCCACCUUCGUUCCACUUCAACAUUGUUAUAUGAUCAUAAAAUUCAGUAAAGAGCAAUAUAUUCAAUCU